CGCAAGGAGGCCGUCCUGGAGUUCCUCAACACUGAGGCCAGCUACGGUGAGGACCUCCGCAUCAUCAAGGAGGAGUUCUACUGCCCGAUGCGCGGGGCCGGCCUGCUCACCUCCGAGCAGCUGGCCGUGGUCUUUAGCAACGUGCAGGAGCUCAUCGAUGUCAACGAGAAGUUCACCGAGCGCCUUCAGGAUGCCAUCGACCGGGCCUUUGACCAGGGUGAUGAGGAUCUGCUGACGGUGUGCAUUGGCGAGAUCUUCCUGGAGUUCGUCAACAUGCUGCCCGCCUUCCAGACCUACUGCCUACAGCAGUCCAGCUCUGUCAACAUGCUCAACACAUUGGAGAAGGAGAAGGAGCUGCUGAGAAUCUUCUUAGACGUCUCGCAGAAUGACAACACAGCCUUGCGGAGGAUGAACCUGCGUUCCUUCCUGAUGGCGCCGCUGCAGAGAGUGACUAAGUACCCACUACUUCUGAAUCGCAUCAGCAAAGCGACAGCUGAGAGCCACCCGGACAGCGGGAGCCUGCGCGAGGCCAAGCGUCGUGUGGAGUCUCAUCUGGAGCACAUCAACAUGAAGACCAAGCAGGAGGGCGCAGCCUGGUCACUACGUUCCUUCCGCCGGGACAGCCGCAGGAAUCGCGAGGCCGGCACUGUCGAGAUGCGCGAGGUGUCCAUGAAGGCCGUGGGCUGGAUGCGGGAGAGCACUCGUUUUGUGAUGGAAGGUGCCCUCCAGCUGUCGCAACCGGCUGACGGCCAGUGGACCAAGAAGGGAAGCAAGGUUCUCAAGUUCCAGAACGUGCAGAGUGUGCUGAUGGUGCGCACUCGCCGGGCAACAGACGCACCACCUGAGCGUGGGAUUCAGGGCAGGGACCCUCCAGAGCCUGUGCAUGAUGGUGUGCUGGUACUCAUCAAGGACAAGAGCAGCGGCAAGUUCGCCGUCCUGCGGGAACCCAUUCGACUGGGAAACUGCGUGGUGUCGGUUGACCCCGAUUGUGACGAUACCUUCGAGCUUCUGGACAUCCCUCGUGAGGCCUUUGUUUUCCGGGCCGCCGACAAGUCCCGCACACAGCAGUGGUUCCACCAGAUCAAGAGAUACUCGUGUGACCUGGGGCCCUGGAGAAAGAGGCGCAAUGCCCUCCCCAACAUCAUGAUCAACACAAACCAGAACCGGUCCUGA
rnacentral:lncRNA from 1 species